CCAAUGCAAGGGACACGGAUUCGAACCCUGGUCCAGGAAGAUCCCACAUGCUGCGGAGCAACUAAGCCCAUGCACAACUACUGAGCCUGAGCCCUAGAGCCCCUAGAGCCACAACUACUGAGCCCAUGUGCCACACCUACUGAAGCCUGCAAGCCUAGAUCCCGUGCUUCGCAACAAGAGAAACCACGACAAUGAGAAGCCCACGCUCUGCAACUAAGAGUAGCCCCUGCUCACUGAAACUAGAGAGCCCACGCACAGCAACAGACCCAACACAGCCAAAAAUAAAUUAAUUAAAAAUAAUAAUAAUUAAAGUGUCAUACAUACCUUAAGUACUCUCAGAUAAAUCCUUCCUGACUUCCUAUGCCUCUGCUAUACAUGCAUAUAGCAUUUUUUUCCCCCAAAGCCCUUAUUAUACAAACUGCUCAGGUAUACAUGCGUUGCCUUUGGGGUUUAACCAUAUAAAUCUAGGCUAUUAGCUAUGCUUGGAUAUCUGAAGUUAAAAAUCAAAAAAAAUGGAGGAAAUAAUUUUUUCCCCAUUAUGUUAUCCUUUUGAAUUCCAUUUUUACUAACAGAUUUCUGGCUCUCAUUUACUUCCUAAUUUCAUCAGCCUUGACCCAAUACCACCAUAUUGACUUUUUAAAUGCUUUCUCAUUAACCACACUAUCUAAAAUGUAACCUGAAUUCAUUUAGACUAGGCUUUCUCAAACUAUUUGUGUUCUUUGGGGGAAAAGAAGAGAGUCUAUGAUAGUCAAAGAAGGUUAAAAGACUCCAAGAAAUCAUGAAGAAAUGAAUUGUCUUAUCUUGUGUUUCCCAAACUUUUGGUAUUUGAACACAGAAUCCCCUUUAAUGUUUGAGAAAUACAGAAUUUGUCCUUAUAUAUUACAGAUAUGAAGUAAAUCAGAGUGAUCCUAUAAUCAGUUGCAAACCUGAAAGCAAUCAUUCCUAAAUAGGUAUCAGACUUCCUCUAACUUAAAACCAGAUGAGGUAUAAAGUGCCCCUAACGAUGGGUGACGAGCUGUUAAGCUAUAGUGGAUCUCAACAUUGGGUUUCUAGCUCGCAGCAUCCGAAGCUUAUUUCCAGUUUGCUCACUGUAAUUUCAAGAAAUAGGUUUAAAAUCCCCUUGCACAUCUGAUACAGUAACACCAUGCUGAAGUUUACCACGUGGACACUAUGGAUCAAAUUCUGAUGCACAAUCUUUUUGGUGGUAAAAUGUAAAAUAUAGGCAGCUUGUUUGUUUUUCCUUCAAAACCAGCCAUAAAAUGGUAACUAAUUAUAUUAGUUCUAAGAACUUCAGAAACAACAUAAUAAGGCAGCAGUUUUAAAAAGAAUUAUCCUGGGUAACAGUAAAUGGGAUUCUUGUAACCGUAACAAUAUGUUACAAUAAAAGAUUGAUUUUUCUGAAGACUCUCAAACCUCAUAAUACACAGUCCCCAACUAAAUUUUUCAACUUUAUGAUACACAUUCACAUUCAACAGAAACGUUGAGUUUUAAUCUUUUCUCGGGCUAGCAGUGUGCAGUAGGACACUUGUGAUGCUGGGCAGUGGCAGGGAGCCACAGCUCCCAGUCAGCCAUGCAAUCACAAGUAAACAACCGAUACCCACACAACCAUUCUGUUUUUCACUUUCAGUACAUUAUUCAGUAAAUUAUUUUCAGCUUGUAAUGGGUUUAUCAGGAUGUAAUCCAUUUUAAACUGAGGAAGCUCUAUAGUCUCUAAUUUACACCACCCCCCAACACACACAAACAUAUAGACACAUAUUAUAAAACCUUGAUUUCAAAUGUAUAAAAAGGCUCCAUAAAUUUUGGGAAAAGCUGAAGAAACAAUAAAUGGCCUAUGUCAAACAAAUACAAAAUUGUAUCAAGACUAACAGGGACUAUAGAAAAACCUAUUUUAGUUAAAUACCUUUAAAUUGUCACAAUGAACAAUGAAACCAUAGCUAUAGUGGAUAACUGUUUUGUUUAAAUUUCAAUGACAAUAUAAAAAGCAUAUCCUAGAUCAUCUGAAUAACUGAUUUGUAAUUAAACACUGAAUUAUUGGGCUUCCCUGGUGGCGCAGUGGUUGAGAGUCUGCCUGCCGAUGCAGGAAACACAGGUUCGUGCCCCGGUCCGGGAGGAUCCCACAUGACGCGGAGCGGCUGGGCCCGUGAGCCAUGGCCACUGAGCCUGAGCGUCUGGAGCCUGUGCUCCGCGGCGGGAGAGGCCACGGCAGUGAGAGGCCACGCGUACCGCAAAAAAAACAAAACAACAAAAAAAACUGAUUAUUUCAGUGCUUGGAGCUGCAAUGUGUUGAUCACACUGACACCAAGUAGGAACUGACAACCUAAAAUAACAGUAAUAAGUAUUGUUCAACCAGUCCAUAAACAUUCUCAGAGGUCCUUAGGUUCUCAUAUAUGAGAAACAUUGCUCUCAACUUUUACAAGUACAGUUGACCCUUGAACAACAUGGGUUUGAACUGUGUGGGGUCACUUAUACACAGUUGUUUUUAGUGGUAAAUACUACAAUACUACAUGAUCCAGGGUUGGUUGAAUCCACGGAUGAAGAACUGUGGGUACAGAGGGACCUUGGAACUGCAGAUAUGGAGGACCUGCAUAUAAGAAGGAACAAUGUAUAGGGAGGGUCCACUAUAAAUUAUACAGGGAUUUUCAACUACAAGAGAGGACUCAUGCUCCUAACCCCACAAAAAAAAAAAACAAAGCCCAGGGUGGUGUUCAGGGGUCAACUGCAUGCUUACCUAUAAAUGAAAUUUGUAACCCUCUGAAAAGUCUAACUUCUAUAACAUAUUUAACUUGAAUUAUUACUCCUCCCCCCACAAAAAAAAAAGCCCAGGACCUCUUUAUAAAAACGUAUCAAAUUUAUUUCAAUAUCUAGUUUCAUUUUUAAGUUAAAGCUUUUAGACAAUUUUUUUGUAAUUUAAGAUUCAUUAUCAGGGGUGAAGAAAACAUUAAUAAGCUAUUAAUUACUGACAACAAGUAAAAUUAUUAACCAUGCAUUUAUAAAAGCCAUGUUAAAGAGUAAAAAAAAGUUCCAGUUAUACUACUUAACUAAAGGAAAUAUCCUUCAGCCCUUUAUUUCUAACUAUAACACAUUAUAAUUUUGACAUGAUUUACACCUUUUUCACCCAAUUAAUACUAUGCUAAACAAAAUUUUUCCAACUGUUAAACCUUUCUUUACCAUUUAUGAAAUAUGACUUAACUGUUACGCUUUAAAAGUUCCUUAAAAGAGAUUUGAAUUUUAAUUUUCACCAUGAACCUGUUUGAUCAAAAAAGUAAAGGACAUCACUACCACAUGAAUUAAAAGAAUGGAAUGAAAAACAAAAGUGGUAUUAUAUAAUCAGCAAAUUAUUUGAUAAGACAUUUUAACUACUUCACAUUUCUACUUAUAGCACAAGAGAGAAUUAACUGGUUCCAAGGUACUACAAGGUUUGGCAUUUUUACUCCAAGCUUUAAAUCAUAGUGUUACUCUACUCAAGUCAUCUCUAAGAAAAUGGCAGUGUUCAUAAGUACAAAAAUUGUUAUAUCCAGUAAGUGGUAUUCUACAUGGUCAAGAUAAUAAGAGAAUUCUUUAUAAAAUUAGAUUUUUUAAAAUGCAGAAAGUCUGGUAAUUACCAGUAUCUCAAAAGCUAAAAUGAGAAAAAUACAGAAAACAGAAGUACUCGUUGAA